rnacentral:lncRNA from 1 species
GAGACCUUCCCAGGAAUGAGGAUUUGUUGUAGACAUAAAGAGAGAAAAAGAUGGAGACUGAGAUGAUGAAGAGACGAGGGUGAAGAGAAGGUGAUGGAGAAGAGGAGCAAACGAAAAACCUGGAGUAUAAGGAGAUUGUCUCCUGGCCUGCUGUGUAUCCACCAAGCUGGCACUGCUGCUCCUGCCUCCUCGUAGAUGAGUCAGGCCUGCAACUUCUCUUAUCGUCCGUAUUUCCCUGUGUGGGUUUCUGGACUCCCUCAACUCAUGCCCCCCAUCCUGACACCUGGGAGGAGGAGGGAGGAAUGGAAGGGGAGAUGGCCAAGCAGACAGAAAGAGCAGCAGUGAUUGAGAGUGGCAAAAACAGAGGAAGUGAUAGAGACAGAGAGCCAGCCAGCUGAGCAAGACUCCAGACACAAAAGGCUGUGAAGACACACACAUUUUCACACACACACACACACACACACACACACACACACACACACACACACACACACACACACACACACACACACACUGACAUACGCUCACUUAUGGACGAAGACAAGGGGAGACUGACAGAUAGGACUUGCGCCUGGGGCAUGUGCUGGAGGAGACACCCACACUCGUUUUUCGAUUCGUUCCCUCACUUGGAGUGACGGAAGGAGCAGGGCUGGCUGUCGUCAGCCUGGCCCAGAGCAGGAAGUGUGCUGGGGAUAAGGCAGCCAUGUGGCAGGAUGUUAUGGAUUUCUAAUUAGAGCAAUUCAUCUGUCAACAGGGGCGCGCUUUCACUGGAGCUUUCUCUGGCCCUGCUUUCGCCGAACCUUCAUACUUCACACUCCCAACUUCAUCCACACUCUACUCACAC